ensembl:lncRNA
AUCCACAUCCUCACCCUCUCUCUCCCUGUCAGGGAAGCAUCAUUAAGAGACUCUCUGCUCCUCUUCCCUUUCUUCUUCUUCUUCUUUCAACCCAUUUCAGGAGCGACUUUCCAAGACACCAAGAAAAAUACAGCGGCAUGAACAGCGCCGGUCAAACCGCAGCAGCCGAGAGAGGACGCGGCGCCCCCGAGAGUACUCUUCCCAGUAGGAGGAGCAUACUGAGUAGUUUUCCGUGGUUGGUGUCCGUGUGAAGCCGAUGUCGGUGGCGGUCCAGCUGUACCUUCCUCUGACCUCAUUCUCUGGUUGCAUGGAGCCUGAAGCCAAACCGUCCUCCCAAAUCCCACCGUCGCCGGGAGGAUUAAAGCCGGGACCGGAUUUAUGGCCUCCAAAGGGACCGCAAGGAUCUGUGCUCUCUCCAACGUGAACACUGCUUCGACUUUCACAUAAUUCUGCAGCUCUGUGAGAUAAUCUCAGUCCUUAGAUCGCCUUCAGCGUGAGACAUAGUUGGAGGGAUCAAAGGUCACCGGCAGUUAAUCCUUCGUGAAAUCAUCAUCCCCCACAAAGGACCGAUGAGUUCAUCCGAUGAGAGGGAUUUCAAUAGCUGCAGCUUGCAGUUCGUCCUUCAUGUACUGGAGCUUUUGAGGGGGCUCAAAUUUAAAGAGUGAAAUCUGAUUAAUGAAGCAGAACAUUUUUACUUUAACUGGCUCAACAUAAAUUU